rnacentral:rRNA from 1 species
GCUGGCGGCGUGCUUAACACAUGCAAGUCGAACGGGGCGAUAGAAAGCUUGCUUUUUAAAGCCUAGUGGCAAACGGGUGAGUAACGCGUGGGCAACCUGCCGGAAAGAUGGGGACAACAUCCCGAAAGGGGUGCUAAUACCGAAUGUUGUACGAGAGGCGCAUGCUUCUUGUACUAAAGGAUUCAAUCCGCUUUCCGAUGGGCCCGCGUCCGAUUAGCUUGUUGGCGGGGCGACGGCCCACCAAGGCGACGAUCGGUAGCCGGCCUGAGAGGGUGGACGGCCACAUUGGGACUGAGACACGGCCCAGACUCC